AUUGAACGCUGGCGGCAGGCCUAACACAUGCAAGUCGAACGAGUGGCGGACGGGUGAGUAAUGUCUGGGAAACUGCCUUAUGGAGGGGGAUAACUACUGGAAACUGUAGCUAAUACCGCAUACCAUCGGAUGUGCCCAGAUGGGAUUAGCUAGUUGGUGGGGUAAAGGCUCACCCAGGCGACGAUCUCUAGCUGGUCUGAGAGGAUGACCAGCCACACUGGGACUGAGACACGGGCCAGACUCCUACGGGAGGCAGCAGUGGGGAAUAUUGCACAAUGGGCGCAAGCCUGAUGCAGCCAUGCCGCGUGAAUGAAGAAGGCCUUAGGGUUGUAAAGUACUUUCAGCGGGGAGGCGUUACCCGCAGAAGAAGCACCGGCUAACUCCGUGCCAGCAGCCGCGGUAAUAC
rnacentral:rRNA from 1 species